rnacentral:misc_RNA from 1 species
GAUGAAGAACGCAGCAAAGUGCGAUAAGUAAUGUGAAUUGCAGAAUUCAGUGAAUCAUCGAAUCUUUGAACGCACAUUGCGCCCGCUGGUAUUCCGGCGGGCAUGCCUGUUCGAGCGUCAUUUCAACCCUCAAGCCCCCGGGUUUGGUGUUGGGGAUCGGCUCUGCCCUUCUGGGCGGUGCCGCCCCCGAAAUACAUUGGCGGUCUCGCUGCAGCCUCCAUUGCGUAGUAGCUAACACCUCGCAACUGGAACGCGGCGCGGCCAUGCCGUAAAACCCCAACUUCUGAAUGUUGACCUCGGAUCAGGUAGGAAUACCCGCUGAACUUAAGCAUAUCAAUAAGCGGAGGA